rnacentral:rRNA from 1 species
AUUGAACGCUGGCGGCAGGCCUAACACAUGCAAGUCGAGCGGAUGAAGGGAGCUUGCUCCUGGAUUCAGCGGCGGACGGGUGAGUAAUGCCUAGGAAUCUGCCUGGUAGUGGGGAUUAAGGUCGGGAAACGGGGGUUAUUACGGCAAAGGCCUGGAGGGGGAAGGGGGGGGUUCUUCGGACCUCAGGUAUUCGGAGAAGCUUAGGUCGGAUUAGCUAGUUGGUGGGGUAAAGGCCUACCAAGGCGACGAUCCGUAACUGGUCUGAGAGGAUGAUCAGUCACACUGGAACUGAGACACGGCCCAGACUCCUACGGGAGGCAGCAGUGGGGAAUAUUGGACAAUGGGCGAAAGCCUGAUCCAGCCAUGCCGCGUGUGUGAAGAAGGUCUUCGGAUUGUAAAGCACUUUAAGUUGGGAGGAAGGGCAGUAAGUUAAUACCUUGCUGUUUUGACGUUACCAACAGAAUAAGCACCGGCUAACUUCGUG